rnacentral:rRNA from 1 species
GGACGAACGCUGGCGGCGUGCUUAACCCCUGCAAGUCGAACGCUGAAGCUCAGCUUUUGUUGGGUGGAUGAGUGGCGAACGGGUGAGUAACACGUGAGUAACCUGCCUCCUUCUUUGGGAUAACGCCCGGAAACGGGUGCUAAUACUGGAUAUUCACUGGUCUUCGCAUGGGGGUUGGUGGAAAGGGUUUUUCUGGUGGGGGAUGGGCUCGCGGCCUAUCAGCUUGUUGGUGGGGUGAUGGCCUACCAAGGCUUUGACGGGUAGCCGGCCUGAGAGGGUGACCGGUCACAUUGGGACUGAGAUACGGCCCAGACUACUACGGGAGGCAGCAGUGGGGAAUAUUGCACAAUGGGCGCAAGCCUGAUGCAGCGACGCCGCGUGAGGGAUGGAGGCCUUCGGGUUGUGAACCUCUUUCGCUCAUGGUCAAGCCGCAACAAUGGUUGUGGUGAGGGUAGUGGGUAAAGAAGCGCCGGCUAACUACGUG